rnacentral:rRNA from 1 species
UACGUAGGGGGCAAGCGUUGUCCGGAUUUAUUGGGCGUAAAGAGCGUGUAGGCGGCCAGGUAGGUCUGCUGUGAAAUCCCGAGGCUCAACCUCGGGUCUGCAGUCGAUACGAGCAAACUAGAGUGUUGCAGGGGAGACUGGAAUUCCUGGUGUAGCGGUGAAAUGCGCAGAUAUCAGGAGGAACACCGGUGGCGAAGGCGGGUCUCUGGGCAACAACUGACGCUGAGGAGCGAAAGCGUGGGGAGCGAACAGG